GACGAACGCUGGCGGCGGGCUUAACACAUGCAAGUCGAACGGGAGCCGGGCGUUCGGGUUUGGUGUGAGUGGCGAACGGGUGAGUAACGCGUGAGUAACCUGCUCCCUGCGGUGGGUUAACGCCGGGAAAGCGGCGCUAUUACUCGAUAGUCUUGCGGCAGCGCGUGGGGGGGUUUGGGAAGGGAUGCUGGUGGGGGAUGGGCGGGCGGCCUAUCAGCUUGGUGGGGUGGUGAUGUACUACCAAGGCUUUGACUGGGAGCCGGGGGGUGAGGGUGUCCGGCGAAACUGGGACUGGGACACGGCCCAGACGCGUACGGGAGGCAGCAGUGGGGAAUAUUGCGCAAUGGGCGUAAGCCUGAUGCAGCGAGGCCGCGUGAAGGAUGACGGGAUUCGGGUUGUAAACCACUUUCAGUAUGGAACAAGGAGCCUUCAUUUGGGGGGUUUGAGGGUACGUGCAGAAGAAGCGCCGGCUAACUACGUG
rnacentral:rRNA from 1 species